rnacentral:rRNA from 1 species
CCUACGGGGGGCUGCAGUGAGGAAUAUUGGUCAAUGGACGAGAGUCUGAACCAGCCAAGUAGCGUGAAGGAUGACUGCCCUAUGGGUUGUAAACUUCUUUUAUAAAGGAAUAAAACGAGGCACGUGUGCCUUUUUGCAUGUACUUUAUGAAUAAGGAUCGGCUAACUCCGUGCCAGCAGCCGCGGUAAUACGGAGGAUCCGAGCGUUAUCCGGAUUUAUUGGGUUUAAAGGGAGCGUAGAUGGGUUGUUAAGUCAGUUGUGAAAGUGUGCGGCUCAACCGUAAAAUUGCAAUUGAUACUGGCAGUCGUGAGUACAGUUGAGGUAGGCGGAAUUCGUGGUGUAGCGGUGAAAUGCUUAGAUAUCACGAAGAACCCCGAUUGCGAAGGCAGCUUACUAAACUGUGACUGACAUUGAUGCUCGAAAGUGUGGGUAUCAAACAGGAUUAGAUACCCUAGUAGUC